AGCUAAUACCGCAUAACGUCGCAAGACCAAAGAGGGGGACCUUCGGGCCUCUUGCCAUCGGAUGUGCCCAGAUGGGAUUAGCUAGUAGGUGGGGUAACGGCUCACCUAGGCGACGAUCCCUAGCUGGUCUGAGAGGAUGACCAGCCACACUGGAACUGAGACACGGUCCAGACUCCUACGGGAGGCAGCAGUGGGGAAUAUUGCACAAUGGGCGCAAGCCUGAUGCAGCCAUGCCGCGUGUAUGAAGAAGGCCUUCGGGUUGUAAAGUACUUUCAGCGGGGAGGAAGGGAGUAAAGUUAAUACCUUUGCUCAUUGACGUUACCCGCAGAAGAAGCACCGGCUAACUCCGUGCCAGCAGCCGCGGUAAUACGGAGGGUGCAAGCGUUAAUCGGAAUUACUGGGCGUAAAGCGCACGCAGGCGGUUUGUUAAGUCAGAUGUGAAAUCCCCGGGCUCAACCUGGGAACUGCAUCUGAUACUGGCAAGCUUGAGUCUC
rnacentral:rRNA from 1 species